rnacentral:lncRNA from 1 species
UUUAACUUAAGUUGAUCUAGGUCAGAAGCAUACCUACGUCAGGAUAACCCUUCUUUGAAACACUUUGGUAGUGCUCCGAGAUUCGAAUCAAAAUAAUGAAUCAGAACACAUGGAACCAUCUCCCUUUACUUUCUGUCAGGAAUAUGGUAGACUAACUUAUUUAUAACAGUUAAUGAAAGAGCCCAAUGCAAAAAAAUGCAUGUUGGGUCUUUGAAAGAGUUCAAAUUAUUUUGAUAAUAAUAAGUUUGAUCUCUUUUACCGAGAAGGUCUACGGUUCGAGUCCGUAUAGCCCUAUAUUUUGAAUAAUUUGAAAAUCGAAUCGUUUUCCUUUCCUCAUUAUUGUUUAUAUUGUUUGUAACUAGCCACUUGAUUUGGUUCAUCAUGAAUGUCUUAUCUUUUGAGAUUAAUUACAUAUGCAAAUUUUCCGCUUUUUUUUUGCUCCACUCGGUCAUCACCGAAGCGCGUAGUGGGAUCCGCCUUCUCCAGGUAAAGCAAGAAAGACAGUUCCCUAUUCACACCGGAUCCACCAGUCGAUCCUACCUAGGAGUGGGACUAGCUCGAGCAGUUCCAUGAAAAUAUGGGAAAGCUUCUCCAACUCGACUCUGGAUGAGGCUUCUUCCCUGCCUCUGUCCUACUCUCAUUUUGUGACGAAAGAAUUGAAUGAUAGUAGUCAAGGCUUUCGCCGAUUGACUUCUUAUGCUUAAUACCUCUGAUGAGUAAACUAGGUCCCACGUAGCGGUUCGCUUGCACUCAGCAUAUUCUAUCCUAGGUCAAGCAGCUCCUAAUCGGCGCAUAAGGAAGACUGAGGCACCCGUGACUUAUUCCUCUCACUCUAGCUUAGAUCUUGAUUUCCUUCUUCUGAAACAUCUCAUUAAAUUAAAGGGAUUACGCUUCUGAAAGAUGAUCUUUAUUCAUGAGACUCGGCCGGUGUAGCGGCUUAGUUUGCUCCCUUCUCCCCUCUCUUAACCGAUUAAGUUCAUCAAAAGUACUUCUAUUCGGACCGGAUCUGAUUCAAAAAUAGGUCGUAAAAGAACCUCUCCGAACUAUGACUUCUUUCCGUAACAUUCCUUUUUCUUCUUGGCUUGGAAUGUGAAGGAGUUGAAUCAGUCAAAAACAUUCUUUAUACAAAGGAGUAUGACCACUAUUUGGUACUGUCUUACGUCCGCUCACAUAUUAAGCUGCGUAGGCGCAAAGAAUUUGCGAAGAAGGCGUCACAGGUCCGGAGGACCCGUCUGUCCGAAGGACGGGGAAGGAAGUCUUGUUCAUACGACCCCGACCGAGUGGGUAGAUCUUACCAAUAGGAAUAUCGGAGAGAGCAGCUCUGUUGUUGAAGCAUUCGGGUCGGAAGCUAGAGAAAAGAAAAGUUCAGCUAUUUUCAAAGUAAUAGCUAUCGAUCAAAAGUAAUAGCUAUUCAUAGUCCUCCGGACCAUCGGGACCCCUUUCGAAUGCAAGGAAGAAAAAAAAGACUGCAGAAAGCCUAGGAUCGGGGUCGGGCAAGCAAUGGCCGUCCUUUUGACUCUUUCUUGAAUAUGAACUUUCUUCUUUCUAAAGAUAGAUUCUAAGCCAAAGCAAGAACGAAAACGGAUGAGAUUCGUUGAGGGAAUUGAUAUCAUCAAAAAUGUCCACAAAUCCGGCAAUAUUCUUUGCACCUUGCACAGCUGAGUCCGCUAGAUCGCUUGAAUGAGUGAAAUAGCUUGACCGCCUAGGUUAGGAAGAAGUCUCGGAGCAAAGAAAGCUAUCACCGAUGGCCCGGCCGGGGUUCAGUCUCUCCUCUUUCAGUGACUCCUAAGCCGGCUCCCUUGACUGGGGCAGCAGGCUCAGCUUCUGCAGCGAAAGCUGAAAGAACUAAAGCAGCAUUGAUCCGCGCCUCUUCAACUUCAUUCCCCGCAACAGAUCUUGCUUCAGCUUCAGUAGUUCCUAUUCCCAAGAUCAGCCGAUCCGAAGAGAGUUUGAAUGCUGCCGACGAAACUUCCGAUCAUCCAUCCUUUUUGACAGGGGAAUUAGCAAGUGGGUCAGCCAUUUGUUAUGUGAGGUCAAAUCGAAGAUUUACUAAGAGCCAUAGGAAGAAAGAACCGUCUCAGUCUCGCGCCUCUACCUCUAUGGGAUAGACUGAUCUUUUGCGCGAUACGGCUGAAUGAUCUUGCUUCCUACUUUGCCUCUAGAAAGAACUCUGUCUGCUGAAACAUAAACUACGAAUGAAAGAGGGCAGAUGGAGAUGUACCCUUGCCUAGGUAGCCUAUUCUACCCGAUUUAAGAACUCUGCAACAAGAGCUGAAAGAAAAGCGAGAGCAUCCGAAACAUCUGAUUACUGAACCACUUCUGCAUCCUAAACUCUUUCUGGAACAAGAUCUCAUGCCUCUAUAAGCAUUUCCCCUUUCUUACUCAACUCAGACGGGUCCUGCCUCUCCCUCUGAUCCCUACGGUUCAGACUCUGGCUUAGUCAAUCCCUGAACUUGCCUCUGACUUUCUUUAAUGAAUUACCUUGAAAAAAGAUAUCCUUCUCGCACCUCUCAAGAAACAAGAAAUAAGAAGAUAUUAAGAACUCAAGAAGAAAAGUAAAGAAAGCUAAUAAGAUCAUGAAACUGAGGGGCGAAGAGACUCGACCGUAGGGAGAGGGGCGAAGCCGAGAAUGAAACUGAAACUGCAGACCUAAAAACGGCUAAUAGGGGAACCUAGGGCAAAACCUACGAGACUAAUCUUUUUCAUAGUCAAGUCAAAUAUCCGGAUAGGAGGCAAGGCAGACCAAGAAGAUUUGCUCUUUUCACUAUCUCAAGAGGUCUGGUCUUGAUGAUUUACAAGACUAUUUUUAAGAAGAGAGAAGAAAGGAUGAGGAUAAGGCCUAAUUUUUGGAAUCAGACUCGGAGGUUCAAAGAGCAUAUUUAGAUGGAGCAGAUGGACGAGAAAGGACUCCGUAGGACUUAGCGGCACGGAAUCAGACUCCUUCUAUCGGGAGGACGGAAGGAAAGCCUAUCAAAUCAACUUCUUUCCCUCUUGAUCUCCACCCUUGCUGAGGUCUUCUUCGAUCGGUUUCGACAACAGGCAGGGCUAGGUUCAUGAAUUAGAUCUUGAUAGAAAAUGGAAAGUCUUUCAACCUUCUUCUGAUCUUUCAGUUUCUACUCUGCCAGACGUGGACCGCCUUCGCGUGCACCUGUAUAUCUUUCAGGCCAAGUCAGGGCGUCGCACUUUGGGCCCUGGGUUUGAGAAAGGAAAAGAAAAGAUGAAGAUCGAGAUAGAAAGCUGAAACUAGAUGAAUCAUAUAGAUGAGAUUACUGACGUCAUUUCAAAAUCUUAUUGAGAUCAAUGAACAAGGAGAAUGAAUGUCUUAAGCAAAUUCUCAGAGAUCCAACUCAUCCUAGAAAGUUUACCUUUUCUCGUCCGAAGGACCAAAGCUUUUUUACCGCUACGUGGGUUUAUGUGAGAAAAAAGAAGAUUGAGAGAUAACUAAAAUAGACUGCAAAACCAGGCCUUUAUUCAAUGAGCUUUGAACCUAUGUCAAAACCUUGCUUUAUGGCAUCCCACUCCGCGGUACUAAAGGACUUCUUUCUAUUAAUCAACUAAUUGCAUAAAGAAAGAAACUAAUUUCUGAACUGCGGAGAAUCGUCUGAUCGUCUUCCGAAUCGUCUUCUUGUCCUAGGCUUUCUUCUUCGGUUUCAGCGGUGUCCUUCCAAACUUUCGUCGACGGAAUUGGCAUUCAAAGGUCAACCCCUCUUUGAUGCAGUUUCGAGGGAAUGAAAGAACUCGAGAAGGUCUCUACCAGAAUUUCCCCAGUGGAAGGAAGGGCUGUCUCACAUCACGGUAGCGGGCUUAGAUCUUGAAGGAGAAGGAAUCGGCCCCCGUUGCACUAGUUGCACUAGUAGCACCCGAAGGGGAAGUCCGGGUUGAGUCAGACUCAUCCGUCUCAGUCUCUCAGUCUGUGUUGCGGACGGAACUCUUCCAAAGAGGUGGAACCUCGAAAGGAGAAGAUAGAGUCUCUUGAGUGAGGAUAAAAAGGGCUUACCCGAGCCCAGUCUCACAAGGUCAUAAGUACUAAGUUCAUAUGGAUUUCAGACUUGCACUCCCAUAGUAAUCUUUCUAAUAGUCUGUAAAUCAUAAAAACCUCUUGAGUCCUUUCUUCUUUGCAGGUUUAGUGGUCCUCCGUCCAUUUGCGCUCCCGUAGUUAGGAGCUUCCUGAUUUCUUAUAUAUAAGCAGUCGCUUGGCUUCGCAUACUAAUCUUUGUAUUCUACUUUAUUCAUUGAUUUCCUUGCCUCCGGUUCAUGCUUCGCUUCGCGCCUACUACGCAGAAGACGAUUCGGAAGACGAUUCCAUAUCGUCUGAUCGUCUGAUCGUCUUAUUGUCUUAAGAAGUCAGACUAAGAGGAAGCCCCGGAUUACGAGUCCAACCCCUUAUAGUAUAGAAAGGCGGAGGAAAGAGGACAACAAGGGAUAAGCCGGCCGGAAGGAAGACGAUUCGGAGCAUUCAAUAUCGUCCGAAGGACUCAAGGAUUCCUUGCCGUAGGUGGUCUUCCGAGAAUCAUAUUAAUCUUUCUUCUUUCUUUGAAAAUCAUCAAAUUCUACGGGAGCGCAAAUGUCCUCCGGACUACUACGUCCUACGCCUUACCGCAGGUUAAGCAAGAUCAGAAUCCGAUCUUCAUUCUUCGCCACACAACUACCGCUCCUACAGAGUCUUCCUUCCUUUCCGUAGGUUCUGACUUCUAUAUUAUUCUUUCUUUCAUGCUUUUCUUUUCUCGUGAAUGAAUGAAAAGAAGAAAUCGGGACGCUGGACCAGAAGUUCAGGCUUAUAGGGGGAAUCUCGGUAAAGAGUAAGCCCUCCCCUGAUCCAGAUUUAGUUCUCACAGCGGUUGCUGUGGUUGAGGAAGCGCAGCGGCUCGAGGGAUGAGGAAGUCCUUUCUCCAGUUGCAGAAGAGAAGAGGAUGCACCCUCCGUAGCCGAGGCCUUGAAGUUCCUCCUUUUCUAUCUCUAUCAUAGAUAGGUUGAUUUAGCGGAAUUAUCCCUUGCAGUCCACGCUGGAGCGCUUUCAUGAAUAAGAAGAUCAGAGUUCCCAUAAGAGGAAAGCAUGGGUAUCGAUCGAGGUGGUAUGAAGCAGAGUGAACGAGAAGGAAGAAGGAAUGCCCCGAGAUAAAGAAGGAAGAAGGAUCAUCGGAUGCUCUGAGACCUUUCUCUUUCAGUUCCCGAGUCAGUCGCAGGAGAAGUGGCCUCUUCUUCCUCUUGCUGUGGAAGUGGAGGUGGAAGUUCUUGUGCCUGCUCUUGCUUUCUCUUAUUCCGUAAUUCUUCAUCAUUCACUUUUAGGAUAGAUCCACGCAGUGGAUUAAAUACUGAUUUCUUCAUCAGACUAAUCCGUGGCCGACUAGGCGGUAGAGCACGAGAAAGAAAGGAAACUCUCCCACGAGGCCCGAUCCCACGUAGCGGUAAAAAGAUAGGCUUUGAACUGGGCCAUGCCCCACUAUUCCAUUCCCCGACCGACCUAUCUACGGAGGCUGAAUCUGGGAAUUCUGACUCAGCCUAGGACUGAAGGACUCUACCCUAUGGAAGUGGGCAAUUAGGCCAUUGAUUAGUUCAAAUGCACAAUUUCCCACAGGGUAUGGGGUGAGAUGGCAUUCCUGAAAUCCGGCAGAAAAAAAAAGCCUUUGAGAAUUCUGACGCUAAAAUCAUAUGGAAGCUUACUAUUUGGAAGAAAGCCUAUCCUCAAAAUCAAGAGAAAGCCUAGGCUCGACUGAAAGGAGAGGGAGACACAUGAAAGACGGAGAAAUACCACUACGAAAAAAAGUCUUUGCACGGAGGGCUAGUCCCAAGACUUCGAAAGAUGAGGAAAGCGCGUAGGGGGCCCUGUCCGAACGUCUUUCAUUUCCACCCUUGCUCCGCCGUUUUGCGCUUUCAGUGGGUUUGAGGGUUGACUCGAGAAUCUGAACUCGUAGGGUGAUUUUCUUUUCGUUAAUGAAUUUCUCAUGAAACCUAUUAUAUGGAAGAAAGAGUCAAAAGGACGGCGUCAAAGUUCUUUGAAAUAGAGAGAGUUUACGAAGUUUACGCAGAAGGAAGAAAGAAAAGGAAGAAGACGACUCAUUCAUUGAUCUAUUUUGAUGCCCCCUACGCGGAAUAAAGAAUAGACCCGUAUUUCUCCGGACCAGAAACUAGAAGUUUUCACAAACUAUGUGAAUUUCUUAUCCCUUUAUGAUUCUUUCAUUGCAAUUUCCCGGCUUUUUUGCUUCUAAAUAGGACUUUUUCGACUUAUCUUAUCUAACGAAAAUAGAUCAAAAAGAAGGCAUUUUACUUGAUUUCUUGCUACUUUAUAGGCCCAAAACCUAGCAAAAUCAUGUAUUUCCCUCCGUAAAAACAAGGUGAUGAAAUCCGAAUUAUUCUUGAAUUCUCGUUAAUGAGCUUCUUUUCUUUUUUCUUUUCGUCAACUCAUAUUACAUUGAGCCUAUUCAAUGCAUAUUUCCGCAAUAUUCUUUGCACCUCUCUCUCAUCAUCAAAUUUCAUUGAUCCUUCUACCGCUUAUAUAUUAACCUGCUCCUAACUAUAAGCAAGUCCUCAAAAACAAAGGUCCAGGCGCAUAUUGCAAGAUCUUUUUUCUCUAAAAUACCGAUAUACCGCAACAAGAGGAAACUGAAGGACAAAGGCUCGAUAGGCGGAAAAGGUUAUGGAAAGCCUACCAUAAAUCAGUCCCAAGAUAAGGAUGCCUUGGUUUAUUCAACAAUGAAAAGACGUUUCCGUUUCCAUCACGUCUCGACAGAAGGAUAAAGGCGAGAGGUCAAAGUCACGAGGAAGAAACUCCCCAAAUCGGCUAAGCAUCCAUCCAGAAAGAAGAGUCUGAUCGCCGAUCAUCAAAUGCAUUCUCUGCUUUCGCAUCCGGAUGGCUUUUCGGUAUCAAAAGGAUGGUUCUUGCGAGGAGAGGAAUGAUCAUAGGGCUCUCUUGAGUUGAUCGGUAUGCGGAUCUCUUUCCGCUUUCACUCAUCUUCUUUCCCUAGGUGGGGCCGGGUAUAGUCAGUCUCCCAGUUAGUAGGGUGUGUGGAAGCGCUCGAAGGCAAGGGCACUGAGUAAAGAGAGUGCAGAUCGGGUCCCCUAGGCUUUCUCUCUUUCUUUUCUAACGUAGGGAUCGCUUUCAUAAAAGAGGUAGUAUGAAGGAGACCCCCACUCCGCGGUUGAAGGAAGGUCAGAAGUACUGUCAUCUGAGAAGCGUAAGCGGGUGCAGGCAUUUCAAGAAUCAGAUCCCGUCCGAAGGACUCUUUCACAGAAGCUAUGAAAAGAAGAGAGUUGGACGCGCGCGCUAGAACUCCAUGAGAAGAUCAGACUCCCAUUCAUAGGUCUUCAGUUCGUAUUCCCCUCUGAUACAAGGUCCUAAGCCGCUGGGUAGCGUGAUUCUCUAUAUUUCAGAGACUAAGCUCCGCGAAAGGUUAGAGGUUUCCUCCCAAUAGAGGUCGGGGUCAGAGAGACCGGGAUGGGAAGAAGUUGGAAGCGAUACCGUCUUUAAGAGAAAGAGAUAUAUAAUAGAAAAGAUCAGAGAAGAAGAUAGAGAGAAAAAGAAAGAAGAGAGGAUUAGCUUUCUUAUCGACUUAUAUCUGAUUAUUUCAUGAGCAGUUGUUCAUAUCUGAGACUUAGUUGAGCAGGGAGAGAAGCUUCGAGACAGAGACAGCAAGCGUAGGUUAGAAGCUGCGAACAAAGCUAGACAGCUCAAUAGGUUCACUGAAAUAAGGGGAAUUCUCCAUUUAGACAGAAAGGUUCCAAGACGUACCAAAAGCUAUCACCGGUACGAUAACUGAAAGAGAUUUCCCGGCCGGGUCCUAUUUCCCAUUUGUCCAUUCUGGGUGAUUGUUCCGCCUGAAAUCAGACAUCCACCUAAAGUCAAAGUGCAUGAAAAUGCUUCAACGGACAAGAUCGACCCCGCUACGUAGGAUGGGCUUUCCUUCCUUGCCGUAGGUCGCCGUAGGUCUUCUUUAAAUGCGCUUCGCGCCUCAAAUUCAAAGAGCCUUGCCUCCAGUUCUUGUCCGUCUUGUCUUGCAGGCAUUCUAUGAAUAUAGAGACUGGGUUGGAUUUGAUUCCGGAAUUGAAUGAAUACAAUAACUCACUCAUCAGUGGAUGCGGCACACCCUGUCUCAGUACCAGUGCCAGAAGAGGUUAGAUCUCUUUCCCUCACUCGGUAAAAGAAUCCGAAGCGAUAGCGGCCGCCGGCGGAGCAAUUAAACUACCACGGACCGGUUGAAUAGGCAGGCACAGUCAGAAUGCACCUCACUACAAAAAAAGAAGUGCGAAGAAGUGGCUGAGUCACUUCAAUAGUCAAAGGAGAAUAGUCAGAAGUUGGAAGCGAUACCGAGGGCAUUGCCCUACAGAGCUAGGAGCUAGAAAAAGUUCCAUAAAGGAGUCAAAAGGUUUUGAUGAUAUUCAGAGUUAUUAAAAAGAUUAGCAUCCAUAAAUCAGUCCAAGAAAUAGAAAGGAUUAAAUAAAAGGAAGAAAGAUUUAGAUAAAGAAAAAGAAAGCCUAUCUCCUCGACGGAAGAAAAAGAAGAUCAAGCCUAUUUCUAUUUCUCGGCCAUUGUUCAUAUCUCGGAUAAUUUUUUCUCGGCGCGGUGCAAAAAGAGAUUUAGCUCGACCUGAAUUAGUAGGAUUACUCCACGUAGCGGUAAUUCUAUCUUCUCAUUCUCUCCUUCCUUUAAUUCCUCUUGAUAGGCUUUCCUUUCUCUAAACCUACUCAAAAGAUUUUUGCCUAUGGACUGAUUUAUGGAAUAUAUUCUUUUGGACUUUUAGAAGUGAGAUCUAAUUCAUUCUGGGACGGAUGCCUCUACCUACCUCUUACUCAACCGAUACGGUCCUAUUCCACUGAAAGAUCUCGCGAUGUCCUCCACGCAAAUUCUUUGCUCCUCUUCCUCCCAAUCUUUUCUUAUGUCUGAGGAGCCCACGUAGCGGUCGUCUCGACUUUGCUUAAAUGAGUUAGUUCAAGAUUCGGGAAUCUCAUUAAUGAGAUUAUUGAGUGAACUAUCUUAUUAAAGUCAAGGAAAGCAAGGACACAGAACUAAAAGGACUACUGCCCGCGGACAAGGGCCUCAGGCUAAAGGCUGAUUUUCUUGGUGAUGGAUAGUCUUUGACUCCUUCGGUCCCGAGGAUUUUGAAGGAAUGAGUAAAUGGGUUCUUGAAUUUGCAGAAAUACUGGACGGCUUUUCUCUUGAAGGCGAAGUGGGAAGGUCAAACCACCUGUCUGCCGGUUCCGCGUCCUCUAGACCGACUGGUCCUUUUCUCCUUCAUUCAGUCUCAUUCAUAUUAGUCCCUGGACUGAAGGUUGGUCAGUUGGAUAGGCUUGAAUCUAACAUCAAUAUUCUUGGUUGAAAGUCCGACUAUCCACUAGUCAAAACCUAGCAUUUUUUUCAUUUGAGCUAAAGAUCAAGCCUAGCGAUUCCCACUCCGCGAAUAAAGUCUUUGACUUUGCUUUGCCCUGAGAUUUCUCAAUUUCUUUUUUGGUCACUGAUGAAAAUCGAGUUCAUUUUGGUUUUCUCGUGAAUGAGAGACUUUCUUCUUCAAUACUCUUUUCACCCUUUAUGAACUUCGUUGCGCUCCUACUAAUAAGGGAUAAGUCCUUAUUCAAUGAGCUGAGAUAAUUCUUUGAUCCUUACAGUCGAGUUAUUGAAUAACCUUCGGACGGACCUUCAGAAAUCCAUAUUCAUCUGAAUCAAUGAACAAGGGUUGCGAGGACUUAUCUCCUUUUUAAGGAGUGCAACUUGUUUAUUCUACCAUCUGUCCGGAGUCCUAUUAGUGACUUUCUUUAUUGAGGGAUUUGACCCUCUUCUUCAUUGCUUCGGAGUAUUAAGACCGGAGGACCCAUAAAAAGUUCAUAUGGUAGAUCUCUCCUUUCAGUCGAGCCUUUGUUUUUUUUGAGCCUAGGCUUGAUCUUUCUGACUUGGUUGAUAGGCUUUCUUUAGGAGAGGCAGCUAUCUCUAUUUCCAAGGCAAAUAGAUAGGAUUUUGAGAAAGGCUUAGUCUGAAUUACAUGAAUACGACCCAGAUCGGAACUAGGGUAAAGGGGUACCGAUCGACUGCCCGUCAGAGGCCUUGUUCAUUGACUUUCCGUUGAGGGAUCUCUUUUUCUUGCUUUUGCAGUAGCUCUUGCAUAAGUCGCUGUGGAAGAAAGAUCAGUCGUAGUUCGAUCAAAUCUCUCUUGACCAUCUCUUUAUUUCCUGGUCUCAAGAUGUCCCUUAAAGACUGAUUUUUUUCGAUUCCACUAAACCUACUAUUUUGAGAAGACGUAGAAUAUUGCGAGGAGGAAUUUGAAAGUCAAAGAAAAGCAAGCUUCUAUUUUGAUGCCUACGGAGCGGAGUAGUUUGAAAGAAAGGAAGAAAGGUCUGAAUCGCUUUCAUGAGUUUUCCCUAUAGAGAAGAGCCUCAUCGCUUUCAUAUGAAUAAGAAUCCCGGCCUGGUAGAGAGUGGAAUCCGGGAGACUUGGCGUCUGAGAAUGCUACAGAGAAUUCCUCGAUUCCCUUUCGUAGUUAUUCCGGGGAAUGAGAUGGCCGGGAGAGCUUCUAUUUCUUCUUCUUGCAUCGUCAAAUCUUAUGAAAAGAGAUGAAAGCGGGUAUUUCUCCCUACUGAAUGAGACUCGGUCAUUCUAAGGCAUAAGCUUCCCCCCGAUCCGCACCGCAGAGUAUCUCAGACUUUUUGAAGUCAAACCGCUCCGUUAGGAUCUUUGAGGUCUGGAGGACCCGUCCGGAGGACUCAUUCAUUCCACUAAAAGGCUAGUCCUAUGGAAACUGAGAAUGAGAACAGUUAUUGCUUGACUCUUGACUAAUCCUCGAUGCUCACCCUGAAAAUCUCAGAAAUUACCUCCCGAAACUAAGUAGAAAAGAGAUAUUCAAACCUAUCCUCUCCAGUCUCUACCUCGUCAAGCUGCAAAAGGGUAAAGCUACUUUCUUCCUCUUUCUCUUCCCUUUCUUCCGAGAUGAUAGGGUCGAGCCUAUAUCUAGCCUCGUCUACUCUCUCGUCUUCUAACCGAUACCGGUACGUGGUAGUUUAAUUGAGAUGGAUGAAACUUCUUGCUUCUUGGCAACCUCUGCCGAAACUGGUGGACUUGCUUAACGAAAGGGAUGAUUCCGCCUCGAGCGGCUUCUCUUUCGCUCUGGCUUCGCCCCUCUCCCUACGGUCGAGUCUCUUCGCCCCUCUCCUUUCAGUCGAGCUUCUUCGCCCCUCUUAAGUCGAGUAGCUUCCUCGCCCCUCUUUCUUCUUGCCCCCGAUCUUUGUCUUAUCUUUCGCCCCUAGCCUGACUACAGAGCUACUUCUAACCACUAGGCCCAAGACUCAGAGAAUAGUACUGAUCUCACUCCUCUUGGGAUAGCGAUCCCGAUCGUUCUACCCUGAACUCAGUCGGUAAAGCCUGUCCUUUCUAUCUAUGCUCCUUCGCCAUUCCCCUCUUCAGAAGAGAGAUUCUCAAACUCGUUCUACCCGCAACUGAAACUGCACUUCUUCUUUCUCAUGCGAAGUGGAAGUCUGUCUCCUUUUCCCUUGAACAUAGUGAUUCUCACUCUGAUUCUAUAAGAAACUCCCUCUGAAAUCAGUCCUAUUCUACCUGCGUACUCCAUCCUAUCUUUGAGGCUUCCAAUCAGGUCAAUCCGGGAGAGCUCAAGAUAGAUCUACCCCAUCGGGGCAUCCAUCCUCUUUAGUCAGUAUUUGGUCAAGACGGAUACCUCUCUUCCGACUUCCGAGACUGCGAUACGGUCCCGCCGCUGGCAUGAGGUCAAAAGAAGUCAGAAUUUCCUUAAGAUCUAGAACUCUGUCGACGAGCCAAAAGGGAUAGCUCCGUGGGACUCUCUCCUUAUCAGCUGGCCCUAUCCAAUUCCCUGACUACUGAGCUUUCAGUUAGACAGCCGCACCCAAACUAAAGGGGUUAGCUCCUUCUUCCCCGCCUCAAUGAACAAGUCAAUGAACAAAGGGCUCAUUGAUCAUUUUCUUCCAGGAGAGAUCAUGAGAUUCCGAAACCUCUCACAGUAUUAUUCAUCCCCUUUGGGAUAGCUAUAGCUGCGUCAAUCCUAUAUUGGUCGUAUGAAGACCGCCUCAAUGAACAAGGUUGAAUGAGACGGAUGACUAUUCGAGAUAAGUGAUGCUGCCUAUCCCCGAGUAGGUCUCGCUACUUUCAUUGAAUGGCCUCACUGGUCUCUCCUUUGUUCCGAAACCUCUGGGCGAACAGUGGUCAAAAGCAGCUUAGCGAAAGGUCUUCCUCUUGAGCUCGGGCCUGAAGGUCUUCUUGGUACGGAUUGCUUGAUCUUCCUUUGCUUCUUUUCUUUUUGUGUGCCAUGAAGUGAAGGACAAAUUCAAGACAAGAAGAGGUUAAUAUGGAAAUAAACCAGGAACAUGAGAGGCUCAAAGAAAAGGUGAAUAUGGAUAUAAACAAGUCCAGAGGAUCAAAGCUCAUUGAAUAAAGAGAGAGGACCGUAGGAGGCUCAAAGAAUGAUCGAGGCGCAAAGAAUGAGAAUUUUCCACAUUUCUUUUCCCUAUAAGCUUAACAGGUAUCCGGGAUUUAGGACCAGAAACUAGAAGUUCUCAAUGUUCAUUUCUUUUACCUAUAAGCUUCACUCUUUGUCUUCUUUCAUAACCUGGAGUGAAAUAAAGAAUAGACCUCUCAGUAUCCGGAACACAAACUAGAAGUUCUCAAUGUUCAUUUCUUUGACCUAGAUUUUGAUAAUGGACCAGUUGCAAUUUCCCGGCUUUUUUGCUUCUAAAUAGGACUUUUUCUCAUAUUGAUAAAUAACGAUAAUUGAGUGAAAAAGAAGGAAUUUUCAUGAUUUCUUGCUACUUCCCUAUGGGCAAAACCUAGCAUUUCCCUCCGCGGAUUAAUCUGAAAUCUAGCUCUUCAAUCUCCCAUAUUCACCUCUUUCUUUUGCAUUCCCAUUUUUUUCUUCUUUCAUUAUCGUUAAUGAGUUCAUUCUUUCUCUCAACUCCUCUUGAGAUAAUUCUUUGAGCCUUCCUGAUGGAUAGUCCUUCGGACCUGUCUCGCAAUAUUCUUUGCCGCACCUAAUGGAUAGUCAUCUGGACCUUUGUUCUUUGCGCCUGGAAGUCUCGUCAACUCAUCUGGAGCUUGAUUUUCGGUCUCGCAAUAUUCUUCCUCUCAAUUCAUUCAGCCUAACGGAGCGGUUAGGAGUCUGAUAAUUCCACUGAAACUUCUUGGAAUGGAACGUAAUACGUCCAUAGCCCAAGAGUGGAAAGAAGAUCUUUUCAAUAGUUUCCAAUGGCAAAGAAAGGAGGCUUACCUCCCCCUUCCAGGACCUGGGCAAGUCCACCCAUCCUUAAGUCUUUAUCUGGAUCAAAUGCCCCAAGGACGGACGCCAUUUCAGGGCCCAUACCUUCUUCGUACCAAGAAAGAAAGGGCUCGCAAAGACCUCCGACUUUAUCAAAGGCGAACAAAGUCCAACCUUUGCAGGCCAAUAGGCCUGGCGAACCCUUCAGGCAAGGAAUUCAUCCAAUUAAGAAAAUAAAUGAGCGAAUGCGGUCAUAUUUGAAACCGAUAAAUAUUUUGGAAUAGCACGUCCCAAUUCUAACUGGAUCAUGGUUGUUCGGAAUCGACUUAAAGGAAAAAGAAAAGGAUGAAAAAGAAUCUCAAAAACAGGAGGUGCAAUUCAAUAUGCGUUUUCAGGUUCAUUUCAAUGACCUCAUAGGUUCAAUUAUUGACUUCAAAGUCUUCCUUGAUUCAGGCUCGAUGGUUUUGAGCCUCAUCUAUGCCUAUGAUCAGCCUCAAUAAUCAUACCAGGAAAAAAUCAUUCCCUUUUAUUAGAAAGAGAAAGUAGGGGCUUGUAAACCCGUGAACGCCCACUUCAAAAAAAGGAUAAGGGGAAGCUGUGACUUUUCUAUGAAGGAAGAGGGUAUAUUAGAUCAACUAACUAGGACCCCAACUGGCCUUGUAGUACUACGGGCUUGCAAGAGCUUCUUCUUCUCGUAUUCCUCUUUCGGCCCUAAAGAUCACUAAAAGGUAAACAAACAAGGGCUCUGACGUCAUCACAAUCCAUUUUCCUGUCUGCAAUCGGUCUCAUUGAUAAGGAAUUUCUCGGAUGAUUUAGAUAUUUUAGAUGCUAAUCAAGCUUCAAGCAGUAUGGUGGCCUUCUCAGCCGGCUGUCAGCCUGAAUCUACGCCUACUUACUGUUCUAUCUCUCCGCCUUCCUAUGGAUGCAGUUGCAUCUCCGCCCCUACCUGCUCCGGUGAAAGAUGCUUCUUUUGCAACCAGUCAGCCUGUGGUUCCCUUGUCGACUCAGGCUGCCUCUCCGGCUUUAUCCACUACCCCCAGCUCGCUGGGCAAUCCGCCUCUAAGGAGAUAACGGCUAAUUAGGCGGAAACUCUGAUUUCUUAAUAAGAGACUGCCGCUACCCCCACCUGACGUUCUUAUUCAGUCUGAAGAAGAUACUGCAGCUGCCAUUCUAAUUCCGCUUAGUAGGCUGGGUUUUGUCCCCAAUCAAGGGAGAUCGUGGGAUGAGAUGGCUAAUAGUUCACUUUCGGUGCCUGCAUUCUCUAAAGGGGGCCGCUUUCCUUAAGAUGUGGGGAGCCGCACCCAAGCAAAGGCGCAACCGAAAGAUGAACCGGUGAGAUUCUAAAAAAACCUUCUGCUUCACUUGCAAAGAUUCUGCCUAGAGCACCUAUCCUGAUUUUGAGAGAGAGAGUGAGUUUCUAUUCUCGUCUGCUCUCAUUCCUGCUUUCAGUCAAGUAAUGAACCCCGUUGGCAAGGCUUUUGUCCGUGUCUACUCUAGAGCAUUCUCUAAUCAAUGUCUUAGAGAGAGAGGUCUUCAGUAUGAAAGAGAAGAAGACGAUUCAGAAAAGGAAGAAGAAGAAAAGAGAGAGAAGACUCAAGGUCCUUCUACGGCGCGAAGCGAAAGUCGUGCAGGUUUCUUUUCCUUGGUUUUAGUUCUUUCUUCUGCCUUCUUCGUGGAUUCCUUUUGUGGUAGUAGUGAGAUCGGAAGGAAGGACUAGACACGAGGCGCGACCCAUACCGCUCCGUGGGGCCCCGAGAAGGAUGAGUGGGAGGCAGGAUCUUUCCACUCGAGGUGGUUUAGGAGACGUCUAAGGACGAACUAUUCUCCCCCAUCUGUAGGAGAUGGGAAGACAAAGUCAAGUAGCAAGACAGCCGUAUGAGAUUCUUAUCUAUUGACUCCUUGGAUAGGCUUUCUUCCAAAUAGUAGUAGGUUCUAGGACGAAUACGACUUCUCUCUUGGAUCGGGAUCCAUUUUCUAUAUCUUUUUAGAGUAGACAAGGUGCGAUUCCUAUCAUAAGAGUUCGAUGCAAGAAGAGCUCUUCCUCAACCGCUACGAAGGAGUAUUUCCUUUUGGGGUGUCCGACGAAACUUUGAUUCUUUUCCAAGAGAAGAAGAAAUUCAAAAUCAAGCUCCAGAUGAGUUUCAUGAUUCUGCUUUUCAUCCAUCCUUUAGCUUCCCUGGUUUUGUUUUGGGUUGAGGCAAGUGGGAAGGUCAAAGAAGGCAAAUGUGAGGUCAAAUGUCCGAUUUAGUGAUUAUCAUUCCGUGGAAACUCGGUUCCUUUCCUCGCUGCGUCCCCUUCUGAAGUGGAAGGUUCAAUAAAGGCAGGAAUGAAUGGACGAUGCCCGCGAUGAUUCCGCUCUGAACCUUCUUAGUGCGCGGAAAGGGAUGAGAGAGGUCCGGUGAAUGAAAGAGCCCUCGGCCGUAUCUUCUACCAGUGGUGGCUUUUCUUUGAGAAUUCCGAGAUGAGAAUUGAGUUAAGAGAUUGAGCUCGCGGAUAGCUUCCCUAACUGCUGGAAGUCUCUCAUAGACAAUGAUUGAUGAGGCCCGUCCGUCCUCCUUUUCCCGCUACGUGGGGGUCUUUAUAUUCUAACCGCAGAGUGGGCAGGAUCCCUACUUCUUCUUCUGUAGAAUCUGAAAGGAGAAUUACCUUGCUGGGGGAGAUAUUUGAACCGCAGAGUGGGCAGUCUCUUGACCUCCUUCAUUUCUAGAAUACGAGCCGGGCCAGGUACGAAGGGCGAUAAAGAAAGAGAUAAAGAAGAAGAGGUUUCGAGCUAAAGCGGCUAAAGGAAUGCCACUAGUUCCACUAUCAGUUGCUUCGGAGAUAAUUUCCCAACUGCAAUGAAAGAUAAGGUCAAUGCAUUAAAUAAUAGGUUGAAGCUCUUCUCUAUCUUGAGUAAGGACUGUAUCAAGUCUUAUCUUUUAAGAGUUUCAAUAGGCUUUCCAGUGAUCUAUAUGGACCCGCAAAUUCUUUGCGCCUGGACCGGGAUAAGAAAGACUGAAUUCAUAAGCAAGAGUCAGACAGAAAGACAGAAUGUGAAAUUGAGUCAAUCCAUAGGGAAAGUAGAAAACUUUUGUGCUUUGAAUUUAUGCUUUUCUCGUUCAUGAAUUUCUCAUUCAACCUAUUCUAAGACGGAAAGGGAAAUCUCGGAGCUAACUCAAGGAAGAAGCCGGCCGGAAAAGCGAUACCGAGGGCAUUGCCCUACAGAGCUAGGAGCUAGAGGAAGAAGAAUUGGUGGGAGAAUCAAGACGAAGAGCGAGACCCCUAUAAGUGAACAAGUCAAGUCGCUACCAAACCAUCCCGUGUAGUGGGAUCGAGCCCAUGUAGAGGGCCGAAUUCCCUUUCAGAAGUACGAGGAAAAGGGGGCCUUUAGGGACUAUGAGGAUAAUAGGGAUUUCACGAGGUUCAUUCUCUAGAGUUACCCAGUACCAGGUACAAGGAAAGUGGGCCCAGGGCAAAGUAGCUUUCCAAGAAGACGUAGGCAAGGGACUUGACCCCACUCCUAGGUGCCUUACCUUUCCUUAUUAUAGCACAUAGACUUCUCAGAUCUCAUCCCCCUGUCUGACUAGGGCGAAGGAAGUGGUGGGGUUCAUGAAUGGUUGGAGCUUCAGUUCUUGAAUCAAGUAAUGAAACUGCCCAGUUCAUUGAUUUUUCUUUGCCUUGGCCUGAGGAUCAUCUUUCUUACUGAGCACACCUUUCAUUGUUCUCUCUCGUACUGAAUUUAUGCAAUGCAAUCACAAAGUUCAGAUUGAUCGAAGCGAUCGGCACGUCCCCUUCUCAUCUUCUCUUGUUCAAUUUCCCACUCCUUUUGAAUUGAAGUGACUGACUCAACUCUUAAGACUCUACUGUGCAGUUUUGAUCCGCUCGAGCUGAGCUCUUACCUCUUUUAAGUGACUCGAUUCCUUACUCAUUAAACCUUUCCUAGCGCGGGACUCCUUUCAUGGUCAAGCUUCUUACCCUUAACUCCUUCUUCCGAUCCGAGAAAUAGCUUUACCUUCCCCCGAUCAGGAAACCCAUGAAAAUCAAGGUUGCUUAGAAAGAGAUCAACCUAUAAAUAAAAGGAAAUCUCCUUUUGCUCGCGCUAUUGCUUUCUUUUUUUUCGUAGUGGGAGAGGAGUGAAGCUGGAAUGGGAGUCCGUUCUUCGAUCUUUCAGUUGUGAAUAGGCAGGCGCAGUUAGCAUUUCCUCUUUCGACUUCCCACUCCGCGGUGCAAAGCUGCGAUAGGCUUCGCCCAGUCCGGAAGACAAGAUCCAGUUGAGAAAGUCUAUCGAAGGAGACAGGUAUUUAUAAUACUCAAAUAAGUACGAAGAGUUCUCACUCUCAUGGAGCAAACUCGACCAAUCGUUCUCGGGACAGAAGGCGAAGCUCGAUCCGUGGUAGGGGCUUGCAGCAGUCGUAGCUUUCAUUCUUGCUUGAAUAUGCGUCAUUAUAGACCAUUGGUAAUGAAAGGCCGUCGGCCUAACCUUGAACUGUAGAAACUAGGCGAUGAAAAUCCCAGUAAAUAAUAGAAGACGUUACGAACGAGAUCUAGAUCUGAAGCUGAAAGAAAAGCAAGAGCCUCAAGAACAAGGGCAACUUCAGCCUCAACCGUGGGUCUUUCCUCCCCAUAUUAGAACCUCCCCGCGCAUUUCUGCCUCUGCAGGCUCGGUAUGUAUUGAGAGUGGUGAACGAGUAAGAAUCAGUCAGUAAGACAGAAUGCCUAUCACGGGCAGCUAGAGUUUCGGGCUAUGGAAGAGAAGGAUCGGCACCCGCUCGACCAGCCGUACCUGCAAAAGUAGGGGCGGGCGAAGUGAAGGUUGCAGCAGGAGAAGAAGCUGUCCCUCUUUCGGAAGUUCUUGUGUCUGUUGAACCCGGCAAAGAAAAAUGAAAUCUUUGAACGGGUAUACUGUCGACAAAAGAAAGAGAGAAGUCUCGGGGGGAAGAAGGUAAACGGAAACUGAUCCCUCUCCUUUCAGUCGAGCCAAGGCAUCCUUAUCUUGGUAGUUUCUAGCAAUGGCAAUUAAAGGGUGGGGCUUGCUUUCCACCAGAACCAGACCCCUAUAUCCCUUAUCUGUCUUGGCGGAAAGGGACUCUUUCUACACUGGCUGAAUCAGAAGAGAAGCUUGUCUCGGGGAAUGAAGUUGCGGAAGUCCUUGUCCCAGUUGUCGAGGUAUGAAGCAGCGGCCGUAUUUACCUUUUGAGGGUAGGCGAAGAAGAAUCCAUCCGUCCCAGUUUCAUAGGUUUCGGGUCGAAGCUAGACUAGAACUCAGGAUCAGUAGAAGAGAAAGACGAGACCAUAUAUAUUUAGAAAGAGCAGUUUCAUCCGUUUAAGUUGCCGUUGAAGAAGAAGUCUAAAGAUGAACCGAAAAUCUUCAGAGAAUAUUCAUUCAUCCGUCCGAAGGAUCAACUCAAUGAAUUCAGCCUGUCAUCUGGACCUUGAUUUUUGGAGCCUUCCUUGUUUUUGGUAAAGUCACUUUCGCAUAUUGAAUUGCUCCUGCCUAUGGGCGCGCAAUAUUCUUUGCACCUGUCCGGAGUCCGGAGUCCUCGCCAAUGGAGAUGCUCCAGCCCACUACGCGGUGCAAUGAAAUAUGCAUCAAUUGAUUCCCCAUUAAUUCCACUAAAAAAGCGAAGUCGUCUGAAACGGACGGAGUGAAAAGAAAGCCUAUCCUCCGGACUAUUCGCUAUGAUAAAAGGAGAGACUGAAGUCGCCCUUGGUCUUGGUUUUGCAGUUCGUCUUGCAGAUGCUUCUCUUUCAAAGUCUUAUCAUCGUGAGUAAGCUAUUUUAUUUCAUGAGAUCUCUUUCCUCUCAUCUCACGUGGCUGAUUUCUUGAUCGAAAGAAGCUCAGACAUAAGAAAAGAAAUUAUCCUAGAGUCGAAUGAAUUCCCGAGCGCCUCUACUGACCGCGCGCGAAUGGACAUGAAAAACCUUGAUUUGCACUCUUUGAUCGAUACGUCUUUCUGCUUUGGGCAAUUCAAACUUUCUCUCUCUAUACAAUCCCUUUCUUCAGAAGCUCUAUUACGAAUGAAAGAGAUCGAUCAUCGGCUGGUCACAGACUGAUUCCAAUCAGAGUGCUUACCUUCGAUAAUUCUUUGAGCCUCUCCUUCUUAUAAGUCAGAGUUGCUUCGCACCAUACGGUCUCGAACCCUCUCCUAUGCCUAAAUUAGUUCACGCAAUAUUCUUUGAGCCUUGUUCAUUGUCAAUAUUCAUUGAUUUGUGCUAGAUUUCAGAUUAAUCUGCUAGAUUGAAGACGGAGGGAAAUACAUGAUUUUGCUAGGUUUUGCCCAUAGGGAAGUAGCAAGAAAUCAUGAAAAAUCAGUCAAAAUUAGACAAUUUUCGUUAGAUAUAUAUAUUCGAUUUAGUCCUAUUUAGAAGCAAAAAAGCCGGGAAAUAGCAAGGCAUUGUCCUAUUUGAUUUUCGAAAUUCACAUAGUUUGUGAAAACUUUUCUAAUGGAUAGUCCUACGGACGGAUACUGAGAGGUCUAUUCUUUAUUCCGCUCCUGAGAAAGAAGACAAAGAAAGAUAUUGCUGGUCGGAAAAGAAAUGCCAGUUGGGGAACCUGGGGAAGGUCUGGGAUACAUGGCAGAACUGUGUUCACCUAAUAGGGAAAUCUAAGGCAGGGAUAAAUUCAAGGGGUGGUAAGGAGGGAUGGUAAGUGAAGGUAGGGGAAUCAAAAAAAAACAAGAAAGUCAAAGUGGGGGGGAAUUUGCUCAGUAGUGUUUAUGGAAUUCAUGGCAUUACUCAAUCAGAUAAAAGAAAAUUGAAUAAAAGCCCAUUAUAAAUAAAAUAGCCCCGGGUCUUUGAACUUUUUUUGCGCAUCCGAACCCCCCAAAAAAGUGGGGUCGUUUUCCAUUGAGCAAUUUAAUAGCUUGUCAAUUCAUUCUUGGUGUAAUACUCACUUGGCUUGGAUUUUCUAUAUAGCCAUAGGCAGCGAAAGGCUGCUAAUUGCGAUCGUCAGGGUGCCCAAUCAUUAUGAUGAGAUCUCGCCAUUCUUUGGGCGGAAUCUCCUUCUUUCGUCGGAAUAAGUUAUUAAAGUCUUCUUUCUCUUCGUGGAAGAACGCCACCUCCCCCUGAUUCUUGGGUGGCUUCCGUCUUUGGAUCCUUAAGGGGAGCCUUUCGGUUCUAUCUCCAUUCCGGUAUAGAAUCAAUAUAGGCGACAUGGCCUAAUGUGGGUUUCCUUCUGAUCUACAUAUGGAAAGAUUUCUAAUGCUUACAGGUUCUACCUGUCGUUGUGGUGGUUUUUCCACUGGUAUGACAGCGAAGUUGAGUAGAUUCAUCCCCGACUCUGUGACCUGCUCAUAAUCGAGAGAGAUAUAUGGGAUAUUCUUUCCCGGUUUAUUAGCCCUUCUAACUGGAAGGAUAAUAGAAGAAGAAUCUCUUCAGAUCUCGAGGAGGGGUCAAAACCAUCCCUCUCAUGAGGAAAGAAGAGAUCUUUGAUCCUCUCAUAUAGAGAUCCAUAUUCAAUGGAAUUCUUAAAAGACUCAUUCAGAGAAUGAAGCAGGUAAUCCCCAACUCUCAGAGAAUUGUAGGAAAUGGCUGGAUUCCAAAUGAGAUCCUGUGUGCAGGCUCUAGUAAGAAAAGCUCUCCAGAAUGUGGCAAUGAUCCUUUCCUCACUCAACUGAGGUAAGUUGGAAAAGAGCUUAAGAGGCAUGAACCUUUCCGCCCAUGGAGUGUCGAUAAGGCUUCGCUAGUAGGUAGGCUAUCUCCUAGAAUAAUUAGUGGAACAUUAGCCAUUUGCUUUCUUUUCCAAUCUUUCAGAUCAAGAAGACUUAAUAGUCUUCUACUCAGGGAUUUUCCCUCUUGUCUCCAGCCCCAACUGCUGGCUGAGCUCCCAGCAUCCUGAAUGAUCCACAAUUGAUUAGAAUUCUGACAUUUGAGAAAGUCCUUCUUUCUACUUUUGUCCGUACCCCAGACAAUGGGUAAGACAUUAGAUAGCAUCUCAAGAAUAAGUACACCUUGGCCAUUAGGAUCCCCAUAGAGGAAGAGCUCUUUCGUCUCCCGGGACCUAUCGGAAACUAAGUUGACAGCUAGCCAGUCCAGUAGUAAUAACUUUUCAUUUCAUUCCUCCUCAUGGGCCACUGAUCAAGAUAACAUAUAAUAUUCUCAGUCUUCUCUCUGAGCUUUUUCUCCUUCUGGAGAAGAUAUCACUUAUCAAAUACGGAAUGGUAUUUCUUACCUAAGAGUAGCUUUACAAGCUCCUCAUCUUGAAGAACCUCGGACCACGUAGCGUAGUCCGUCAUCUUCUGAGAGAUAGUCUCUUGGAGCUGAACCUUGCUUAUUUUCUUGGCAACGGCAUUAGCCUCAUCUAGGAUUUGAUGCAGAGAAAACUGCCCCCAAACAUAGCUACCUUUAUCCCCAUGGAAGAGGGAAGGCCAUACCUUUGGAAAUUCAAGAUCGCAUCUUUCCCAAUCAUAAAAAGCCUUUCGGAUCAAAAAAGGUACCAGUAUACCUGCCAGCCGUAUUGACGGCUACUGAGUAAUUAAUCUGCACCUUCCUUUCAGUCUCAAUGAUAAUAGACACGCAACUGAGCGUGUUCUGAAUCCGUAGAGCAAUAUCCUGAGGAGAAAGCACUUCACGGCUCUCAGAGCGAGACAAUCUUAUUAAAAGAAAUCUACUGAAGUUGGUCACUGAAAAUACUAUCAAAUUAGAUUCCCCUCAGACUACUUGAAAAAACCAAAAGACACAAGAAGUGUGUCAAUGAUUUGGGGAAAGCCUAGGCUCUCAUAUAAUGACUAAAAAAGGAGAUUUUCUUCCUGGGUGUCAAUAUUCUUUUCACCUUCUCCUAACCCUCAAAUUCCCCGACCGCAUGAUUCUUUUCCCUAUUAGAUGAACAUUCUUUGGGGGUGUAUUUUCCUAGCCCUCUUCCUAUUGUUGGUUGUCUCUCAUGAAAGAGCUGAAAAGAGCAGACUCUGCCUCAAGACUAACCCUCUAGAACUACUCAGUCAGUUCCCUAGCUUCAACAAGAGAAUACCGCUCCCUCUUGCACUCCACUCCUUUCCAGUCCUUUCGCUGACAGUCUCCUCAAUUCCAUCUCGCCUCUCCUUCUUUCUCAUUCCGAGUUCUCUUUAUCUUCCACUGAGAGUGAUGACUCGUCCUCCUUCGCUCCUUCUUCCGAUCCGAAAGAUAAUAGUACUUAUUGAUCUCUUUGAUCUGAGGCUUCAACUCCAAGAUCUCAUACCGAUGACUUCAAUCAAUGGCCCGGCCGGGGGAGUCUGUCUCAUUAAAGAGCAGUUUUCGAGUCUCGCUCCUUCGCACCUCUCCGAUCCCUUUGUACUUAAAUAAGUAGAAAAAUCAGUAGAAAAAGAAAGAGCAAUUCAAAGAAGGUUCCCAAACAGCGGACUCCGCCGAAAGAGAGAAUUACUCAGCAGGAGCAAGAACCGAAGGAGUUGGCUUCCUCUCUGACGCCUGGGCUUGGGCUUCCUUCCUUUCCAACUCUGAUACUGGGAAGCCACGGCAUACUGGGAGCCUAUCCUCCUUCUAUCUACGCCAUAAGAUUUAGUGGAAUUCACAACCAAGAUAAGGAUGCCUUGGAUCACAAGCCCUAUCCAUGAAUUUGGCGGUUCAGUUCCUCUCAUCGAAAGCAGGAACAUAAAAGAGUUCCAUAAGAAGAAGUCCGACUAUCCUGGUGAAGAAAUAAUCCAAUCUUGCUGCCCAUGGACCCAAAGAGAUGAAAGAAAGGCCGACGCCAACAAAGCACUCCACGGAGAUCCACUGGUCUCACCUUGCGCUUCUCCCUAUUGGUUUCAGAUCUAGGGCUAAGCCCACAAGUUUGAGUGGUCCUUUUGACUUGUUUAUAUCCGUCCUCAGUCCGCCUAUUUUUUGGAAUAAGACUCAAGAAUAUCCCUGUCUUAUGGCGCCUUCGCUUCGAAAAUGGAAUUCAGCCUUGCACUCAACGCAUAUUGAAUUGCGCCUCCGGGACCGUCCUCAGUCCUAUCCAUAUUAACCUGUGACGCCUUCGGACCUGUCUUAUGGCGCAUCUUGACCCUUAUUUCCAUAUUCAUAUUAAACUCCGGACGGCGGAGGAGGCUGAAUGAAUAUUCGUCCACUAAAAACCUGAAAUCCAUAUAGAAUGAAGCGAAGGUGGAUAAAAGAGGUCCGGGAGUCCGACGCCAAAAGAUAGGAUGAAAGUAGCAGAAGGUUUGAUAUUAUCGGAAUAAUAGUAUUCAUCUUUAAGUGAAAGGUGCAAAGAAUAUUGCGAAGUGAAAGGAAAAGGAAUUGCAUGAAUGAUCGAGGUGAAAAGAAUAUUGAAAGUCCUUAUCUCUUCUUUAUGGUCCGCUCUGUCUUCCGCCUGAAAUUCAUGUAUAGGGCUUGGCCUUCAGAAUUGCAUUUUGAUGCCUCCUACCGCUCCGUGGGGGAUCGACUGCGGACGAUACACGCUUGAAGUGAGAAUGAACUCCUAAUCCGCUUUACGAAAGAGAUACUUCUUUCUACGUCUUGUCGACUUUUGACUUAGUUGGGAAGAUAGGCUUUCCGUAUUAUUUUUAGGUUUACUUGUCUGAUGCUUCAACUGGAGUGACCUCAUGAGAAGAGUAAUUCAAAGAAUGAAAUAGGCACCCAUCUUUCUUGCUUCGGAUAGAGAGAGGGAUUAGUCCUUACACAGCCCCACUGAACAGCCAAAGCCACUUCCCGAAACUCAGAGCUAUCUCAUCUCCUACUUCAAAAAACUACAGACGCAGCAAGGGAGCGGACGACUUAUCCACAUUGGCAUAUCCGAAUCCCUAGGGGAAGAAGGCUGUGGAAAUCUUUCUGAUACGGACGAGCUAACAUCCGGAAUGAGAUCUCUGGGAGUACAUUGGUUGGAAGCGGGAGUCGUGCUAUCACUCUUUUCUUUGACUACGGGUCUUGUCUCCUAAACCUGUCCAUUAAAGCGGGAAAGGCUAAAUCGAAGCGGUCCGAAGGUUCAAAGUCGCAUAUUGAAUUGCGCCUCCGGACCACUCCGCGGUGCCAUAAGACAGGUCCGAAGGACUAUCUAUAGGGGAUGAGAAAGAUUAGACAUUUGUGGAUUCUUCAUUAACGAGAAUGAAAGAAGAAUUAUGAAUCUGCUAGAUUUCAGACGGAGGGAAAUGCUAGGUUUUGGGCCUAUAAAGUAGCAAGAAAUCAUGAAAAAUCAGUCAUUUUUCGACAAUUUUCGUUAAAUAGAAAUCUUUGAUUUACUAUGAAAAAGAAGCAAAAAAGCCGGGAAAACGCAAUGAAAGAAGAACUCCUAGGACAGGUCAAAUCAAUGAACAGAGUUUUCUUAUGGUUUCUGGUCCGGAUACUGAGAGGUCUAUUGUAAGAUCGUGGAUAAGUUCUUCCCGCGGAGUGGGCUUAGUUCGUGGUAGAUCCGAGGAGAUCGCGGAUCGGAUCGGUAUCCGCUUUGCCUUCUUUCUCCUGUGGGGAAUCUUCCCCUUUACCUUGAAAUCAAGGAAGUUGCCGAUAGGCACCGCUCCGUGGGGGAUUCCUUCCCCUUUGCCGAGAGGCCUAGAGGUACUAGCUCGGUAUCGGCUUUGCCUUCAGAGAGAUCGGAGAUCGGAUAGAGACUUUAAAGAAAUAAAGGAAAGGAAAGGCCUUCCGGCCGAGAGUCGGCUUUGCCUUCAGAGAGAUCGGAGAUCGGAUCGGCUGUCUUCUCCGAAGGAGUUGUCUUUUCUUUGUCUUCUUUCCUUCCGGCUUUCCCUGACUUUAGUUCAUGGUACCUUUUCUUUAGGGUCCGAGAGGGCCCGGGAAACCUUCCCCUUUUAGGGUCCGAAAGGGACCUACUUUGCUUUGCCUUUUGUCUUCCUUCCUUCCUUCUCGUUCACUCGCUUCUGAAUACCUUCCACGCCGAGAACUUCUAUCUCUUGCUUAGGACUUGGGUGCUACGGGUAGGAGAAGAAGACAAAGGGCUCGAGUGAGAAUAAUACACGACGAAGGAGUUCAGUUAGGUGAGGCAGGCUAUCCCGUGCCAUCUGCCCCAGUCGGGAAUAUCCUUUCUUUGAAAGAAGUCCACGUAGCGUUAAUUCACUCAAUUAACGAUCAUGAGAAAAGAUGAAUUUCCCAUACCGAACUAAGAAACUAACUCAUUUCGGAAAAGUGGACAUCCGAAAGUGGAAGAGGGAAAGGUCUCAUCAUUCUCCCGAACGUACUCACUCGCCCAAAUAGGUUCUCAUCUACAGCCGCCUCAGAAAGAAUGAUUUGAAGAUCGGGUUCCAGGACAGGAAUAGGGGGAAUAGACGGGAAAGCGAGAGAGAAAGAGUUUACGAAGGAGAGGUGAGAUUCGAGACUGAUCUGAUUUCAUUGUUUACGAAGAAAGAUGCCAUGCCCAGGAGUCAAAGUCCCCAGUAGUUUCAUUGUCAUUGCUCGACCUACCCGCCCGGAACUUUAGGGAAUUUGCACCCUCUGAGCAAUAUUCUUUGCUCCUCGCUCUUUGCGCCUCUUGAGUUGUCUUUUCUUUGUCUUCCUUCUUCGCUUCGCGCCUUGCCGUAGGUUGCUUAAAGCUACAGACGAAGGCUCAAAGAAUUUGAGGGAACUCAAUCUUCUUUAUCCAUAUUAACCCAGAGAAAGAUUAGACUUUGAAAAGAGCUUCGAGAUCGAACUCUCAACUCCGCCUGGCGUCCUACUUCUUAUUCUUAUUCUUGGAAAAAUCUCAACCGGAACUCUUUCCCUUCCCUUUAUUCCCGCCUAUUUCAUUCUUAUACGAUCAUAUACAAUAUUCUUGAAUGAAAGACCAUCGCGGUGGUUCAAGAGCCCACAGGGGUCCAAUGAGAUCUCUCUCGCAUAAAAAAGCAAAUCUGAAGUUAGGAGCACUCGGACCAAGACAUAACUUUGACUUGUGAAAAUAACAAUUAAGAAAGAGGUGCAAAGAAUAUUGCGUAGGAUAAGACAGAGGCAAAGAAUUUGCUUGACCUGAAUUACGGAGUGAAAGAAGCCGAUCUUGCAAGAUCCGUUGAUUUGAAAUAGAUUAUUAGCAAAGCAUUUUACGGAGUUCAAUCACUUGUGUUGCCAUAUCGACUAAGGCCGAAGAGAUAGGAAGGUUUGGCACUGACUUAGCCGGUUAGGCGAGGGGGAACUCUCAAUACUCAGCUGCAGAGAAAGAGAGGAGAGCCCAUCAAAAUUCAAUUCUUCUUCCUCAAAUUCUUUGAGCCUCUUAUUGACUACCUUUCUUUCUACUAAUGGAAUAGUAGAGGAGAGGAGUUCAGCUCCUGGAGAGGAAAACCGCGUAGUGGGACAGGGGUUGGGGCUUUUUGAGGCAUCUAGUUCAGUAGCGGAGGAAGAAAGACAAAUUCAGGAUGAAAGGCUUUCUCUAAUUCAUUGAAUAAAUAGGCUUGUUUUAGUAGAGAAGAAAGAGAUCAAGCCUAGAGAUGUAAUUGAGGAGACGGAGUGAACGAAGGAGAGGAGUGGAAGAAAGGCUCGUCGACAGAGUUGUAGAUCUUUUGGAUGCUCUUUCAUUCGUGACCGCUCCGUGGGUCGUGGCUUUUAAGGAGCAAUCCUUCUAACCUUCCCGCUUUCAAAGACCAUUCUUUCUCCUUUUAAGUUAGGCCGACGGCCGACGAGCUCAUUGAAGUACCGAGCGAAGAACUGAAACUGCAGUUUCCACAGCCUCCGCUGAAAGAGCCACUGCCUCAUCCACCGGAGCAAGCGCCUCAAUGAAGAAGGCGCAAUGAAAUAUGCCUUGAAUGAAUGAAUGACGCUUACUCAACUGCUCCUUCUGCCGGCACAAGAGCUUACUAAAACGAGAGUCCUUUCUCACUAUUCCCUAAUGGAUAGUCCUUCGGACUGGCACAAAAGUCAAGAAAAGAAGAAUGAACUCAUUAACGAUAAUGAAAGAAGAAAAAAAUGGGAAUGAAAAAGAAAGAGGUGAAUAUGGGAGAUUUCAGACUAGUCCUUCGCGGAGGGAAAUACAAGAAAAUGCUAGGUUUUGGGCCUAUAAAGUAGCAAGAAAAGACAAAAAAUCAGUCAAAAUUGAUCUAUUUUCGUUAGAUAAGAAAAGUCGAAAAAGUCCUAUUUAGAAGCAAAAAAGCCGGGAAAUUGCAACUGGUCCAUUAGCAAAAUCUAGGGAAAAUCAAUGAACAGAGUUUUCUUAUGGUUUCUGGUCCGGAUACUGACGGGUCUAUUCUUGAUUCCGCUCCUGAAUAUGGAUAGUCCUACUUCGGUUAAUUACGGAUGGUCCUACGGAUAAAUCACCUGGACCUUUCUUUGAUGGUCCUCCGGAUAAAUCCUGCGGACUGCGGACUGCGGACUCCGGACUACUUCUGAGGCUUCUUCCUCUGACUCUGAACCCUCUCCGGGGCCGGGAGCUUCCUUUCCCACUCCUCUCCCGUAGGAAAAAGAGAGAAUUUGACUUCCGAAGCAGAGUACUCACCGAAGGAAGAGCAGUUCCUCUUUCUUUACCUUGUGAGGCUUCCUCUAGCGUCAGCGACAGCCACUUCCUCUUGAUCUUACCUUGAUUCCGUCCUAACCUACGAUUCUUCCCAUUGCCCCUAAGCAAGUCUGACUGUCUGACUGUUCCGACCCGAGGGAGCUUCCUCUUUCAGUGAGAGAGCUACUACCGAGACUGACUCCCUGUCUGAAGGGGACCCUACUAACUUCCUUGUUCCCCACUCCUCUCCCUCCUCUGGGCGAGCUGACUCUUGGGGACUUUCUCGUCUACGAUACGAGCCUAAUCUUGGGACUUUUUCCCUCUUGUAUGAGCCCAAUUAUGUGGUAUUGCACACGAGCAGCCGAUGCCCUCAACCUCCGUCACUCUGUCUCGCUAUUCAAAGCGCUACGUGGGCCUGCGAUCCGGGGCGGGGGUCGAUGGAUGUCCGUCUUCUUGAGUUUUUACCUGUCCGAAGGACUGAUUUAUUCCACUUGUUUGGGAAUUGAAUUAAGGAAAUUAAUGAGUUAACAAUUGCAGCUUAUCCACUUGUCAAGAAAGCCACUUAUCUUUCCACAAGAAACUCCGUCCUCUCCUUACAGUCGAGCCGCUUUCGCUCCUCUCCUCGGGUACCAAGAAUUGAGUGAGACUGCUUUCAGGCUGGGCGGGCUAACUAGUCUCAUAGUUCAUAUGGGGAACCCCAAAAUUGCAUUUCACAUUCGCACUCAGAAAUGGCGUAAAAGAGGUGAGAACUUGCCCUGAUUAUUCAUUGACAUCGAAUCCCGUUGUGACCUGCAUUUGAGUACUCUCAUCUUUCUCAUUCCCCGAACCCGGCUGGACCCCGACCAGAGUGAGUUGUAGAACGAGAAGGAGCGAACUUGACCAGACCAUAAAAGGAGCGGUUUCGGGCGAGUCAGUGGGGUUCUUGCAUCGAAGAGUUAUGAUAGGAAUCGCACCUUGGGAUUCUCCUCUCAAAAGAUAUAGAAAAUCGAGUAGAGUGAUUCUCUUCCCGAUCCUGACGAUCAGUCGUAUUCGUCCCUUUUCACGGGUGGUUAGCUCAUAUUCUAUCGAAGGAGUCAAAUCAAUAAGAAUCAAAUACGGCUGUCUUGCUACUUGAGUGUGAUCAUCUCCUACUUCGGGGGAGAAUAGUUCGUCCUUAUACACAGCCUCUCCUAAACCACCGAUAGCCUGAUCCAGCGGGUUCGCGCGUAAAAUAAAUAAAAGAAGGCUACUAUUUAAAGGCAUGAAAUGUCCUUCAUUCACCCACCAUCACAUGGGAGUUGUCCUUCAUUCUCAGCCUGUCAUCUCAGAGGUGCAAUGCAAGGUGGAAGCUUUUCUUUCUUCGUUGAGUAGAUAUAUUAAUCCGUCUCGUCCUACUAUCUCAUAGAAUAGUUAGUUCCCCGCUCAAGGGAUACUGAAAAGGGAAAGGGAACCGAUCAGUGCACGAGAGCCCAUGCAAGGGCGCUCCCUUUCUCCAACGAGAACUGGAUGAAGAAUUAGUGCAAAAGAGAGCGGGGCAAAGGAAGAAGAAAGUCUCGGCCUAAUUAGAUAAAUCUUAGUAAAGCUAGCACCAGCAUUAUUCACGUAAACAAGAAACUUUCAUUUCCUGCUUUCAUUUAAGUCUUUAGUUCUUGGACUGAUUUAUGGAAAGAAAUCCCCGUUAGACAAGCAAGGGUUCUCUUUCUUCCAUUAUAGUCUUCUCAGGGGGUAUUCCCACUUCGCUUGGAUUCCUUGCCCGACUUCUCGAAUGAUAAUAGAAAGAGAACUUCUGAAAGAAAGACUUCAUAAAAGGCAAUCGGCUACGAAAGUCGGCUAUUCGGAGGUCUUUGACUUAGGCUUGGCCUAAUAAGGAAAGCAUUAUAAAGAGGUCAGCUAUCCCUUGUGGCUACUACUACUAAGUCUUUGGAAAGCUCCUACUUGUGUGAAGAGGGAUGGAGAGACCUAGUCGGAAUCUCCAGUUCUGAUCUCAAGAUCGGGAUCCUUUCUUGGGAUUCGGUAAAAGGGAAUGGUAGAAAUUCCCUUCUUGAAUAGAGUCCUCGUAAGGGGAAUAGAGAGAGCUUUAGCUUAGAUAGAUAUUCAUUCAUCUAGUGGAAGUGGUCUAUUUUUUCUUCUUUUAUCAGAAGAAAUUUCAUUGAUUGCCUCAGCGCAUUCCCUUUGAAUAGAAAGGGAUGUCUUUCCCACUCCUAGGUAAGAAGACUAGCUUUCCCUAUCCAGAAAAAUCUUUGACGAAUAGAAUAGUCUAAGGAAGGAAGAUUAGAGAUAGGAUCUCGAUCCCUCUUCUUCAAAGCAGAAAAAGACAAGGCAUCUAUCACGCAAUAUUCUUUGCACCUCUUUGCAUUCGAGACGUAGGAUGUCUGCGAGGGACGUUCCCGAUCGAUGAAGCUCGUCCAAGCCAUUAUGCAGAAAGAUAUUAGCAUAGCUAGAAGUAGUAAAGAUUUGAGACUAGGGGUUUGAGAUGGAAAGAGAAGAAAGAGAGAAGGCAUAGGAAGAAGAAGAAGACAAGCCCCACUAGGCCCACCAAAGAAAGAAAAAGAAGAGAUAGUUAGCAUAAAUAGGACUCCGCAUCGGAGUAGAUCUCCACUAAACCCAAAGAAAGUCAUGGAUGAAAGAAAAGGUCUAGAGAGAGAGAAUCUAAACAAGUGGACUCAGUCUCCCCGGGACCCCCGCCGAUUGAUUCUUCCAGUUCAUCCAUUUCUUUAUCCUAGAAUCUACUAUUUCUCAUAAUGGCUUUUCCACAAGGGUAGAGCGGAGGAUCCGACCCGUGUUCAUGAAGGACAAAAGACUAUAAACCCAGUCAAAAUCGAAUGGGACAUGUGUCCAGGAAAUCCGCCUUUCUUUAUCAGAAAAAUACGAAAGCAAGCUAGCGCCUCAAUGAACAAGGGGUUAGGCACAUUGUGAAAAGGUUGGAGUCACUAAACCGGGAAAGGAUAUCAUGGCAUGGAUUUCAUCCUUAUUUCCUUACCUUUCUUUAUGAAAUAGGAAGACUUCGAUCAUUCUUUGAGCCUCCGCGCCCGAACGAGACUCCCGCAUCAAAAACUGGGAGAUGCCCUUACAUUACAGUCGAGCCGCUUUCGCUCCUCUCCUCGCCUCUACUGGGAAGGGAUACUGGGAGAAAGAUAGGGCAGGUUCUCGCCCACGGAGCGGUAAGCUUCUGGAGAAUGCGAGAGCUAGGCGGAAUCAGAGGGCGUAGAUAGAGAGUCAAGCUAGCACUAGGAAUUCACUCUUUCGUAAGAAGGCAUCGGAAUGAGACCGGUGAGCGAUCUACAUAGUUGUACCCACUCCGGGGUCUUCGGUCUUCCUAUCUCUUCUACUUAGGGUUAGAGUUCGAAUGAUUCGGAAUUUCCUAAAAGUGGAUAGAAAAGAGAGAGGGGGAGGAUAAGCAAAGAGAAAAGAUAGAAGCCUAGCGAAGGAGACCGGAGUGAGGCGAUACUGAGAUGCUGACCUGAAGAAUCACGCGCAGUAGCACAAUUUCAGUUCCUAUAAAUUCACUGCUCCGUCGGCUGAAUGAAUAUGAGUUCCUUCCUUCGUUCGAAAGAAGAUUGAAAAAGAAUUAUCAAAGAAGAAAAGAAAGAAGACUAGUCGGUUUAGUUCUCAAACAUAAGAGAGAAAGUUGGAAGGAAAGCAAUCAAAAAAGUGAAGACGAGUCGUCUGGACCUCUAAAAUAGCAAGGCUCCCAUAAGACAGAGAUAUUCUUUCUUUGCCUUCCAAAAAAAAAAGCUUUUAUUUAGCGGAGCCGUAGUUAGGCUCCAUAAGACAGGGAUAUUGUAGGACUCCGGACUCUGAAAUCCAUAUGAAAUGAAACGGAGGCGCAAAGAAUAUUGCUCAGAUUUAUAGCUAUUUUUUUCCAUUAAUCAGUUGCACUCCUUUCUUUCUCUCUCCAUUUCAUGCUCCGAUCAUUCAAAGAGCCUUCGCUGAAAUUAUAAGGCUCCAUAAGACAGGUCCGAAGGACUAUCCAUCAGGGAGGAUCGAAGAAUAUUGAGAAAGAAGAUUUCCGCUUGAUUUUGAAUUUGAGUUGAAUGAGAAUGAGAUCUUUCAUGAUCAGUUUAGGGCUAUAAUAGAUAGUAGGCCUCAGGUUAUUUGCCCAAGACCUAUUACCGAUUUCCCGAUCGGGACGUCUUACAAUGGCUAAAACCGCCCUUCUCAAAGUAGGAUUUAUGAGAUUCUUGCCUUGGAAGAUCUAAGAUUGAAUUAUUUUAGAGUCCAGCUGACGACGCAAUAUUCUUUGCGCCUAACGGAGGGGCGAAAACCAUGAAUUUUGGAGAUUCCCACUACACUAAGUCGGCUCAUAAGUUCUUUCUUUCUCUCCUUUGUCGGCCAUUGCUUUGGCUUUCUCUUGAAAGUCGGCCAAUAAGUUCUAGAAAUUGAUAUAAGUAGUUUCGAAAUCUUCUUUAAGCCCUUGUCUUAAGCAAAAAGUAAUGAAACGUAGGUCCUUCCUAGUUUGAAUUGCCUUUUCCCGUCCUCUCAAAUUCUUUGAGCCUCCUCUAAUGGCGCAAUAUUGCGAGGUGAAAAGAAGAUUGAAUCCGUGGGGGGAAGAGGGAGCAAGGGAGUCUGAUCUUGAAUAAGUGGCUGAAGAAGUGGAAUUUCUUGCAGGUUCAGUAGCUGAGUCAGUUCUUGUUUCAGAAAAAGCAGGCGCGAAGCGAGGCGUAUUUAUCUAUUGAAAAGUCUUUGAAUUGCCCCGAAGAAGAAAAAGAAGAAAGACGAUAAAGC